rnacentral:pre_miRNA from 1 species
GUCUUCAUACGCGGCGGUGGGUUCGAUUUCUGGUCGAUUUUCGGGAAAAAUCAACCAGAAAUCGAACCCACCCACCGCCCAUGAAGAU